AGAGUUUGAUCCUGGCUCAGGAUGAACGUUGGCGGCGUGCCUAAUACAUGCAAGUCGAACGGUAGUUGAGCAUUCGUGCUUGAUGAGAGUGGCGAACGGGUGAGUAACACGUAACUGAUCUGCCCUUUAGACUGGGAUAACCUUUGGAAACAGAGGCUAAUACCGGAUGAGUUCGCGGUAGUUAGAGAGCCGUGAGGAAAGGCUAAUGCGCUAAGGGAUGAGGUUGCGGGCCAUCAGCUAGUUGGUGAGGUAAAGGCUCACCAAGGCGAUGACGGUUAGGGGAUCUGAGAGGGUGGCCCCCACACUGGGACUGAGACACGGCCCAGACUCCUACGGGAGGCAGCAGUAGGGGAUAUUGCACAAUGGACGGAAGUCUGAUGCAGCGACGCCGCGUGGGUGAAGAAGGUUUUCGGAUCGUAAAGCCCUUUUCUAUGUGACGAGAGAGGACGGUAGCAUAGGAAUAAGUGUCGGCUAACUACGUGCCAGCAGCCGCGGUAAAACGUAGGACGCGAACGUUAUCCGGAGUUACUGGGCGUAAAGCGCGCGUAGGCGGUUGGUUAAGUUACCUAUGAAAGAUACAGGCUAAACUUGUAUUGGUUAGGUGAAACUGGCU
rnacentral:rRNA from 1 species